AUGAAGGACGUUACUAACGACGAUAUGCUUUGGGGAGCUGUAAGUAAGCUUUGAUCCAGAGAUUUCCGAAUGGGGAAACCCAGCAUGAGUUAUGUCAUGUUAUCGAUAUGUGAAUACAUAGCAUAUCAGAAGGCACACCCGGAGAACUGAAACAUCUUAGUACCCGGAGGAAGAGAAAGAAAAUUCGAUUCCCUUAGUAGCGGCGAGCGAAACGGGAAGAGCCCAAACCAACAAGCUUGCUUGUUGGGGUUGUAGGACACUCUAUACGGAGUUACAAAGGACGACAUUAGACGAAUCAUCUGGAAAGAUGAAUCAAAGAAGGUAAUAAUCCUGUAGUCGAAAAUGUUGUCUCUCUUGAGUGGAUCCUGAGUACGACGGAGCACGUGAAAUUCCGUCGGAAUCUGGGAGGACCAUCUCCUAAGGCUAAAUACUCUCUAGUGACCGAUAGUGAACCAGUACCGUGAGGGAAAGGUGAAAAGCACCCCGGAAGGGGAGUGAAAUAGAACCUGAAACCGUGUGCUUACAAGUAGUCAGAGCCCGUUAAUGGGUGAUGGCGUGCCUUUUGUAGAAUGAACCGGCGAGUUACGAUUUGAUGCAAGGUUAAGCAGUAAAUGUGGAGCCGUAGCGAAAGCGAGUCUGAAUAGGGCGUUUAGUAUUUGGUCGUAGACCCGAAACCAGGUGAUCUACCCUUGGUCAGGUUGAAGUUCAGGUAACACUGAAUGGAGGACCGAACCGACUUACGUUGAAAAGUGAGCGGAUGAACUGAGGGUAGCGGAGAAAUUCCAAUCGAACCUGGAGAUAGCUGGUUCUCUCCGAAAUAGCUUUAGGGCUAGCCUCAAGUGAUGAUUAUUGGAGGUAGAGCACUGUUUGGACGAGGGGCCCCUCUCGGGUUACCGAAUUCAGACAAACUCCGAAUGCCAAUUAAUUUAACUUGGGAGUCAGAACAUGGGUGAUAAGGUCCGUGUUCGAAAGGGAAACAGCCCAGACCACCAGCUAAGGUCCCAAAAUAUAUGUUAAGUGGAAAAGGAUGUGGCGUUGCCCAGACAACUAGGAUGUUGGCUUAGAAGCAGCCAUCAUUUAAAGAGUGCGUAAUAGCUCACUAGUCGAGUGACACUGCGCCGAAAAUGUACCGGGGCUAAACAUAUUACCGAAGCUGUGGAUUGUCCUUUGGACAAUGGUAGGAGAGCGUUCUAAGGGCGUUGAAGCAUGAUCGUAAGGACAUGUGGAGCGCUUAGAAGUGAGAAUGCCGGUGUGAGUAGCGAAAGACGGGUGAGAAUCCCGUCCACCGAUUGACUAAGGUUUCCAGAGGAAGGCUCGUCCGCUCUGGGUUAGUCGGGUCCUAAGCUGAGGCCGACAGGCGUAGGCGAUGGAUAACAGGUUGAUAUUCCUGUACCACCUAUAAUCGUUUUAAUCGAUGGGGGGACGCAGUAGGAUAGGCGAAGCGUGCGAUUGGAUUGCACGUCUAAGCAGUAAGGCUGAGUAUUAGGCAAAUCCGGUACUCGUUAAGGCUGAGCUGUGAUGGGGAGAAGACAUUGUGUCUUCGAGUCGUUGAUUUCACACUGCCGAGAAAAGCCUCUAGAUAGAAAAUAGGUGCCCGUACCGCAAACCGACACAGGUAGUCAAGAUGAGAAUUCUAAGGUGAGCGAGCGAACUCUCGUUAAGGAACUCGGCAAAAUGACCCCGUAACUUCGGGAGAAGGGGUGCUCUUUAGGGUUAACGCCCAGAAGAGCCGCAGUGAAUAGGCCCAAGCGACUGUUUAUCAAAAACACAGGUCUCUGCUAAACCGUAAGGUGAUGUAUAGGGGCUGACGCCUGCCCGGUGCUGGAAGGUUAAGAGGAGUGGUUAGCUUCUGCGAAGCUACGAAUCGAAGCCCCAGUAAACGGCGGCCGUAACUAUAACGGUCCUAAGGUAGCGAAAUUCCUUGUCGGGUAAGUUCCGACCCGCACGAAAGGCGUAACGAUUUGGGCACUGUCUCAACGAGAGACUCGGUGAAAUCAUAGUACCUGUGAAGAUGCAGGUUACCCGCGACAGGACGGAAAGACCCCGUGGAGCUUUACUGUAGCCUGAUAUUGAAAUUCGGCACAGCUUGUACAGGAUAGGUAGGAGCCUUUGAAACGUGAGCGCUAGCUUACGUGGAGGCGCUGGUGGGAUACUACCCUAGCUGUGUUGGCUUUCUAACCCGCACCACUUAUCGUGGUGGGAGACAGUGUCAGGCGGGCAGUUUGACUGGGGCGGUCGCCUCCUAAAAGGUAACGGAGGCGCUCAAAGGUUCCCUCAGAAUGGUUGGAAAUCAUUCAUAGAGUGUAAAGGCAUAAGGGAGCUUGACUGCGAGACCUACAAGUCGAGCAGGGUCGAAAGACGGACUUAGUGAUCCGGUGGUUCCGCAUGGAAGGGCCAUCGCUCAACGGAUAAAAGCUACCCCGGGGAUAACAGGCUUAUCUCCCCCAAGAGUUCACAUCGACGGGGAGGUUUGGCACCUCGAUGUCGGCUCAUCGCAUCCUGGGGCUGUAGUCGGUCCCAAGGGUUGGGCUGUUCGCCCAUUAAAGCGGUACGCGAGCUGGGUUCAGAACGUCGUGAGACAGUUCGGUCCCUAUCCGUCGUGGGCGUAGGAAAUUUGAGAGGAGCUGUCCUUAGUACGAGAGGACCGGGAUGGACAUACCUCUGGUGUACCAGUUGUCGUGCCAACGGCAUAGCUGGGUAGCUAUGUGUGGACGGGAUAAGUGCUGAAAGCAUCUAAGCAUGAAGCCCCCCUCAAGAUGAGAUUUCCCAACUUCGGUUAUAAGAUCCCUCAAAGAUGAUGAGGUUAAUAGGUUCGAGGUGGAAGCAUGGUGACAUGUGGAGCUGACGAAUACUAAUCGAUCGAAGACUUAAUCAA
rnacentral:rRNA from 2 species